GACAGAGGGUGCAAACGUUGUUCGGAAUUACUGGGCGUAAAGCGCGUGUAGGCUGCCCCGAAAGUCGGAUGUGGAAGCCCUGGGCUCAACCUAGGAAGUGCAUUCGAAACUUCGGGGCUGGAGUCCUGGAGAGGAAGGCGGAAUUCUCGGUGUAGAGGUGAAAUUCGUAGAUAUCGAGAGGAACACCGGUGGCGAAGGCGGCCUUCUGGACAGUGACUGACGCUGAGACGCGAAAGCGUGGGGAGCAAACAGG
rnacentral:rRNA from 1 species